UUCAUUUACUUUUGCAGAUGCUCUGAUUCCAUGUUUCAUGUAGUCUGCUGCUUGCAACUCACACAUUUCCCUUGAAACAAGUAAAUGAUAUAUGAUGAACAUACCUGAC